rnacentral:rRNA from 1 species
UACGCAGGGGGCUAGCGUUGCUCGGAAUCACUGGGCGUAAAGCGCACGUAGGCGGAUCGUUAAGUCGGGGGUGAAAUCCUGGAGCUCAACUCCAGAACUGCCUCCGAUACUGGCGAUCUUGGAGUCCGGGAGAGGUGAGUGGAACUCCGAGUGUAGAGGUGAAAUUCGUAGAUAUUCGGAAGAACACCAGUGGCGAAGGCGGCUCACUGGCCCGGUACUGACGCUGAGGUGCGAAAGCGUGGGGAGCAAACAGG